AUGCUGCCCGAAGCUCAGCUCGCGGCGGCGGAAAUGAUGACAGGUGCCACAGCCCCCAGGCCGCCUGUCACUGACACCAGCUGCCGCCCGUCAGCAGCCCGCGCAGGGCCCCCGCUCCAGGCCAGCCCCGCCCCCGCCGGGCCCCUUCCCGGUGGUCGGGCUCCCCCCGCCAGCCGGGGCAGCUGCUGUGGCCCCGGGGUCUGGCUGGACGGGAGCCCGCUGGGAGCGAGGUCCACUGGGAAAAAUCAUUCCAACCACUUGCCCGGAAAACAUACCCACUCAACUGUGGCGGUGGCUUCCCGCUGUCACCCCUGCUGCCAGCAGCCCUGGUCACCCCUGCACUGGUGGCCUCACGCCGGCCCUGAGGACCCAGCUACGCCUCUUCUAUAGGUUGUCACAGACCCCGCUGCUCCUCCACCUGCAGACACUGCCCAUUCUGCCAUCUAAGAAAUGGGCAGGUGCUCUUUGGGGGAAUCUGGAUCCUAUGCCUGUACCCCCGCUGCGAGGAGUUUAGGAUGGAGGAAGAUGAAUGAACAUUUGGCCGUAUUAAUGACCCCGUCUAUUUAGUAAGGAAUCAAACACGGCGGAUCCGAUGUAAAUUGUUAUCACGCUUCCCAGGAGAAUAUCUGUAAGGCUGCCUCUGCGCCAUGUGUGAAACUCUAGGCCUCGGAGCAAAGUAGCUGGACCCGUUUCCCCACAUCCUCACUGGUGUCUUGUGGGCGCUGGAUGUGAGCUCUGCAGAGGGGUUUCUGGAAGCUGGACCAGAAACUCUUCACCCACCAGCCCAGAGAGGCAGUGUGCAUUCUCGCGUGCACCUGGACCCCGGGUGGAAAAAUCUUUCCUGAGAAACCGGACGCCAGCCCACUCCACGGACACAUCAGGGGAUACAGAUUCACACCACAUGGAAUCCUAAGCUAAGAAGUUACCGUUUAAUGAGCCCCGGGCCCGUCCUGGGUGUCUGGCAUGAACAGAAGCGGAACCAGGCCUGAGGCACGCUCACCCCGCCCCGGCCCAGGGCCUCCCACGGCACGCGCGGGGUGGGCCUUCCCCGGGAGUGUGCAUUCACCCAGACGGGCCGGAUUAGCACGCCUACGAACUUCAUCAACUGAAGCUCCCUGAAAGGAAACAUAAAAUUCAAAAUGAAUAGAUGGAAAAUGAAUGAACUGCAAUCCUAGGUAAAGAACCGGAUUUGAGGAGGAACCAGAGCAAACUGCUAGAAAUGACCAUGUAGAUAUUUGGAAUUUAAACUUCCUGUGACACUUAAACAGCAAAUUAGAUUCAGUCAAAGAGAGAAUUCAUGAACUGGAAGACAGAGUUGCCCCCCCUCCCCGGCCCGCCCAAUUCAUGUUGAAGUUUUGACUCCCAGGACUUCAGAAGGUGGCUGUAUCUUUGUACAGAGUCUUUAAAGGGUCAGUAAGUGAAAAUGAGGUCGUUGGGGGUGGGUCCUACUCCCGUAGGACUGGUGUUUUUAUUAGGAGAAGAGAUCAGGACACAGACAUGCACAGAGGGACACUCGUGCGAGGUCACAGGGACAGGACGGCCGCCUGCGAGCCCAGGACAGGGCUCAGGAGGAACCAGCUCUGCCGAGCCCUGAGCCUGGUGGCCUCCGGGAUGGGAGCCUCCAGGGUAGGGAGACCGUUCAUUUCUGCUGCUCCAGCUGCCGGGGCUGCGGCACUUUCCUCGGAGCAGGACACAGGAGGGAGGACAAGCUGAAGGAAGGAGUACAGGCGCAGGGCUGGAGCAAGUCUGGGAGGCCCAUCACCUACCCCAGGAGCCCCGAGGAAGGUGCUCACAGCCGAGGGAAGGGAGGUGUGUGUGCAGGCGGCGCACACGCGUGCCCAGGAACCCACGGUCAGGAAUCCUCGUGUUGGAGAGGCACACGGGGCUGGAGUGGAGCACAUAGACCUACGUCCCGGCCGGGUAUACUGCGUGCCGGUGCUGUGAACCCCCCGGAACAGCACCCACCACCACCUCUUGGCCUUUCUCCCCCUUCCUGGUCCACGGUGGACACGUGCUGUGCGUGACCAUGUGAAGCGGGCUGUGGGCUGUAUUUCCUCCCGUGAGAGCCCCGUGCUGUGGCCAAUUCGGCCUCGGGUCAGCACGCGUCGAGUCUGUGCGUGCAUGUGGAUCGCUGCCUGUCACCUGCUCUUUCCCCUGUGGGCGCGUUUUAUCAUUUCAUCAACAAUUGAAUAAAUGCAAAAGGCGAC
rnacentral:lncRNA from 12 species